CGCGUAGGCGGCUCGGUAAGUCUGACGUGAAAUGCACCGGUUCAACCGGGGCGCUGUGUCAGAAACUGCCAGGCUUGAGGUCGAGGGAGGAAGGUGGAAUUCCUGGUGUAGCGGUGAAAUGCGUAGAUAUCAGGAGGAACACCCGUGGCGAAGGCGACCUUCUAUCUCGAUUCUGACGCUGAGGCGCGAAAGCUAGGGAGCAAACG
rnacentral:rRNA from 1 species